rnacentral:rRNA from 1 species
UACGUAGGGUGCGAGCGUUAAUCGGAAUUACUGGGCGUAAAGCGUGCGCAGGCGGUUGUGCAAGACAGAGGUGAAAUCCCCCGGGCUUAACCUGGGAAUGGCCUUUGUGACUGCACGGCUAGAGUGUGUCAGAGGGGGGUAGAAUUCCACGUGUAGCAGUGAAAUGCGUAGAGAUGUGGAGGAAUACCGAUGGCGAAGGCAGCCCCCUGGGAUAACACUG